rnacentral:sRNA from 1 species
GAGGAGAAACACUAUGAACGAAGUUCAUAUAUUAAAUGCGUUCCAAUGACCUGUCACAGAGCGAAACGAAGUGGCAAUACAUAU